rnacentral:rRNA from 1 species
CGAAUAAUGAAUGGUCCAGGGUAGGCAAAAACUAAUAGCUCUUUUAUGAUUAUGUGAUAGGUGGUGCAUGGCCGUUCUUAGUUCGUGGAGUGAUCUGUCUGCUUAAUUGCGUUUCAAAACAACUGAUACACAGAGUCUUGGCACAGUUCAGUUUAAUGGCGUCGAGUAUCUUUGAUUUCGACAGUAGUCCAACUCGGUUCGCCAGGGUCUCUUUUGAACGCAACGAACGUGAUCGCAACCCUUUGUUGAGUGAUGUCAGCACUCUACGUCUAUCCUAGCUCGUUGAUCGCAAGUGAGAGUUGGGUGGGCAAACUCAGGGGACAGCUUCAACUAUUCUUCUUCAAACUAGAGGAAGGUUGCGGCAAUAACAGGUCU